rnacentral:rRNA from 1 species
UACGAAGGGGGCUAGCGUUGCUCGGAAUUACUGGGCGUAAAGGGCGCGUAGGCGGAUAUUUAAGUCGGGGGUGAAAGCCCAGGGCUCAACCCUGGAACAGCCUUCGAUACUGGAUAUCUUGAGUACGGGAGAGGUGUGUGGAACUCCGAGUGUAGAGGUGAAAUUCGUAGAUAUUCGGAAGAACACCAGUGGCGAAGGCGGCUCACUGGCCCGGUACUGACGCUGAGGUGCGAAAGCGUGGGGAGCAAAACAGG